GUGUCAGCCGCCGCGGUAAUACGUAGGUGGCAAGCGUUAUCCGGAAUUAUUGGGCGUAAAGCGCGCGUAGGCGGUUUUUUAAGUCUGAUGUGAAAGCCCACGGCUCAACCGUGGAGGGUCAUUGGAAACUGGAAAACUUGAGUGCAGAAGAGGAAAGUGGAAUUCCAUGUGUAGCGGUGAAAUGCGCAGAGAUAUGGAGGAACACCAGUGGCGAAGGCGACUUUCUGGUCUGUAACUGACGCUGAGGCUCGAAAGCGUGGGGAGCAAACAG
rnacentral:rRNA from 1 species